CGACGCUGCGGCGUGCCCUAUCCUGCAAGUCGAGCGAAUGAUGAAGAAGCUUGCUUCUUCUGAUUUAGCGGCGGACGGGUGAGUAACACGUGGGCAACCUACCUAGUAGAUUGGGAUAACUCCGGGAAACCGGGGCUAAUACCGAAUAAUUCAUUUCACCUCAUGGUGAGAUGCUGAAAGGCGGUUUCGGCUGUCACUACUAGAUGGGCCCGCGGUGCAUUAGCUAGUUGGUGGGGUAAUGGCCUACCAAGGCAACGAUGCAUAGCCGACCUGAGAGGGUGAUCGGCCACAUUGGGACUGAGACACGGCCCAAACUCCUACGGGAGGCAGCAGUAGGGAAUCUUCCACAAUGGACGAAAGUCUGAUGGAGCAACGCCGCGUGAGUGAUGAAGGUUUUCGGAUCGUAAAACUCUGUUGUAAGGGAAGAACAAGUACGUUAGUAACUGAACGUACCUUGACGGUACCUUAUUAGAAAGCCACGGCUAACUACGUGCCAGCAGCCGCGGUAAUACGUAGGUGGCAAGCGUUGUCCGGAUUUAUUGGGCGUAAAGCGCGCGCAGGUGGUUUCUUAAGUCUGAUGUGAAAGCCCACGGCUCAACCGUGGAGGGUCAUUGGAAACUGGGAGACUUGAGUGCAGAAGAGGAAAGUGGAAUUCCAAGUGUAGCGGUGAAAUGCGUAGAGAUUUGGAGGAACACCAGUGGCGAAGGCGACUUUCUGGUCUGUAACUGACACUGAGGCGCGAAAGCGUGGGGAGCAAACAGGAUUAGAUACCCUGGUAGUCCACGCCGUAAACGAUGAGUGCUAAGUGUUAGGGGGUUUCCGCCCCUUAGUGCUGCAGCUAACGCAUUAAGCACUCCGCCU
rnacentral:rRNA from 1 species